GUUGCGUAAGAUGAGGUAAGGGAGGCAGCCGUCCGUUUUCCAUGCAGCGAACUGCAUCGCGACCGGCCGAGCUGAAGUUUCCUGGAAAGAUAUGCCAAUGAAGAUAGCAGACAAGAAAGGCGGAAGCUUCCGUGCCCUGCAUAGAUGCCCAGGUCUGUCACCGCUGCAUGUGAGAACAAGAUGAGCUGCCCAAGAGCUUUUUCUGUUCGGCAUUAUCAACAGUAAAGAGCAAGAUGCGAACUUAGCAGCAUCAAUCACCGUUGGAUGAGUGACAAUCAACGACCCUCAACGAAAUUAAGACUACUAUGUACUACUGUGUUGUAAUUAAUAUGAAGCUGACCAUCUGACUGUUCGGAACCUUUAAUUUAAAAGUUUGCCAAGAAAUAAAAAUUGUUUUAAGCAUCAAUUAUACCUCCUAGUGUUCCCUUAAUCAAUGGCGGUCUUCAGUAACGACUGCCGAUAAUGCUCUGUACAAUUAGUGAGAACUAACACUGUAAUACCACAACCGUUAAUAAAGAUUGUA